rnacentral:rRNA from 1 species
UGGGGAAUAUUGCACAAUGGGCGCAAGCCUGAUGCAGCCAUGCCGCGUGUGUGAAGAAGGCCUUCGGGUUGUAAAGCACUUUCAGCGAGGAGGAAGGUGGUGAGCUUAAUACGCUCAUCAAUUGACGUUACUCGCAGAAGAAGCACCGGCUAACUCCGUGCCAGCAGCCGCGGUAAUACGGAGGGUGCAAGCGUUAAUCGGAAUUACUGGGCGUAAAGCGCACGCAGGCGGUUUGUUAAGUCAGAUGUGAAAUCCCCGGGCUCAACCUGGGAACUGCAUUUGAAACUGGCAAGCUAGAGUCUCGUAGAGGGGGGUAGAAUUCCAGGUGUAGCGGUGAAAUGCGUAGAGAUCUGGAGGAAUACCGGUGGCGAAGGCGGCCCCCUGGACGAAGACUGACGCUCAGGUGCGAAAGCGUGGGGCAGCAAACAGGAUUAGAUACCCUGGUAGUCCACGCUGUAAACGAUGUCGAUUUUGGAGGUUGUGCCCCUUGAGGCGUGGCUUCCGGAGCUAACGCGUUAAAUCGACCGCCUGGGGAGUACGGCCGCAAGGUUAAAACUUAAAUGAAUUGACGGGUCUAGCUGUUCC